GACGAACGCUGGCGGCGUGCUUAACACAUGCAAGUCGAACGGAAAGGCCCUGCUUUUGUGGGGUGCUCGAGUGGCGAACGGGUGAGUAACACGUGAGUAACCUGCCCUUGACUUUGGGAUAACUUCAGGAAACUGGGGCUAAUACCGGAUAGGAGCUCCUGCUGCAUGGUGGGGGUUGGAAAGUUUCGGCGGUUGGGGAUGGACUCGCGGCUUAUCAGCUUGUUGGUGGGGUAGUGGCUUACCAAGGCUUUGACGGGUAGCCGGCCUGAGAGGGUGACCGGCCACAUUGGGACUGAUAUACGGCCCAGACUCCUACGGGAGGCAGCAGUGGGGAAUAUUGCACAAUGGGCGGAAGCCUGAUGCAGCAACGCCGCGUGCGGGAUGACGGCCUUCGGGUUGUAAACCGCUUUCGCCUGUGACGAAGCGUGAGUGACGGUAAUGGGUAAAGAAGCACCGGCUAACUACGUG
rnacentral:rRNA from 1 species